rnacentral:lncRNA from 1 species
GAUAGCACAACAAACUAUAAUAUUUUAGUUAAAUUAUAUCCUUCAAUCCUAUAUGAUUAUACCUGAAUAAUACUUUCCUUGUGGAUAGCACAACAAGGCAGUACUAUCAAAAUAUACCAUAAGCAUCACUAAGUUAACAUCAUACCGAUCACUAUAGCAAGCCUUAUGGAUAGCACAACAAACUCACUACAGUUUUUGAUAUACUCUGUUGACCUAGUAUGAGCUAAUUACUAUUAGCUUCAUUAUGCACCAAGACAGUAUCAAAUCUAUCCCCA